GAGACGGCAGAGAGUGAGAGGGAAAAGGAGGGACAAGGUCAGAAAGAGCGCAAAAAUCUGCGGAGGGUCCAUUUUCUUUCCACCCAUCACUGGAGCAGUAUUUGGUUUUCUUCAACAAAAAGCUUAACAGAACAUAUUUUUGUUAUAUAAGAUUAGUUUCCACACAUAUUUAUGAUUUUUUUCAGCAUUGUGGUAAAUUUGAAUCCAUUUUGUGGCGCAAAUGCCUCACCAUUUUAAACGGAUCCAAAUAGGAGGUAAAAAACGAUUCUUCGAAAGGAGCUAAGAAAAAAAGCUUGAUCACAUGAUGAUGAUGUGGCGCAAAAAUCCCCAUUAAUCCGCAGCGCAGAUUCUCACUGGCAAGAGGAAGCGCUUCAUUCCGUAACAUAAUCCAACAAACUCCAACAGCCAGUGCAGGUAAAUAAAGAAUUAAUCCACGUGUCCUUUUUAAAAGGAGACCAUUUAAAGAACAUAUUAGUAAAAACUCCUUACAAAAAUAAUGAAAAUCCAAAGUGUUCUUUUUGUAAUUUAUAUGAAUUUGACAGGUUAAAUUCCCACUUAUGGCCGUUUCUAGCUCCACAUUAACCCUUUGUGCUAAUUUACGUGAUCUAAUAUUCAUUGCAUAUCACUGUGAGAUAUUGGUAUUAUUUUAAGAAGAAUUUAACAAUAACUUUGAAAUUAAAAGCAGAUACUCUGUAUAAAACUCUAUUAAAAUGUUAAUUAGUUUUUAUUUAACAAACCAAUCACAGCCAAUUUGUUUAAAAACUAUUAAGUAAGCCAGCCAAUCACUGCUCAGCCUUUACAGACGGGGACUCAGCACCCCUAAUCAAAGAGAACAGACCUGAGGCUCCGUUUUUUCUGCAAUAAUGACUUUUUAUGAAUUAUUUGGAGCCAGGAGAAAAUAAUGUGUGUGUUGGAGCUUUAAAAGCAGUGUAAACAUAUUUGUGAGUUAAAGCUCUGUCUGACCAGGAAGUGCCAGGCUCCUCUCACCUGUUUCCAUGCAGCACAGAGGCCAUCUUGAAUGUUUUCAAUCAGGACAGCAACGCUAGGCUAACACUAAAUAACCUUUAAUCCAUCACUAAAAUUGUUCCAAAAGCUUACAAGUUACAUUUUAAUGCCUGGUUUUGGAUUAUUUUCUGGCAUUUCAUUAUAUUGUCUGCUUUAAUUCCUCUACAGAGCUCUUCCUGUUGUUAAAAAUACUUCUCAAAGGUCCCAGGAGAUGAAAAUCUUCAAACAAUAACUGCACUAAUAUCUCAAAUAUCCAACAAUGAAGUGUUAUCCGGGGUUCUUUGUUUGUGAGUACUAUAAUAAAUAGGACAUCCCCUCUGCAGAAGCCCAGGGCCCAGAGAGCUGCCUUCCUGCCCAGCUAUGGCUCCCCCUAGCUACCUCUCCAUAUUUCCUUGUUAGUGCACUCCCUGAGCCUGACCCUCCCUGUCUAUGAAACACACUAAAUACAUUAAAAUACAGCUGAAAAGUUACAUUUUUCUCUAUAUAUCCCGAGUAAAGAGUCUCUAUUUGCCUCCCAGCCAACAAUGGGCACCAUUGGCCUCAGCAGAACAGAGGAUU